rnacentral:rRNA from 1 species
AUGGGGAGGUCACCGUCCUGCGGUAGUGAGGCCCCCGUCAAGAAGGGCCCGUGGACGGAGGAGGAGGACAGGCUGCUCGUGGACUACAUCAAGUUGCAUGGCACCGGCGGCAACUGGCGAACCAUCCCCAAGCGCGCUGGCCUCAACCGCUGCGGCAAGAGCUGCCGCCUCCGUUGGACCAACUACCUCCACCCCGACAUCAAGCGCGGACCCUUCACCGACGAUGAGGAGAAAACCACCAUCCACCUCCACUCCAUGCUCGGCAACAAGUAUGUAUAUUGUUCUCUGUUGCUUCUGUUGUACACUAUAUAUCUAUCUACUAUCUUCUUCUCCAACUCCGGUGCCAGCUACUCUGUUGCUGCUGAUGAUUUGAGCCUUAAACAGGUGGUCGGCGAUUGCAACCCAUCUGCCGGGAAGGACAGGCAAUUUUAUCAAGAAUUACUGGAACAUGAACCUGCGCAAGAAGCUACUCCACAUGGGCAUCGACCCCAUCACGCACAGCCCGCGCGCCGACCUCAGCCAGCUUACAGGGCUCCCCAGUCUCCCCGCCACCGCCGCCGCCCCCAGUAA